rnacentral:RNase_P_RNA from 1 species
UUUGACAGACAAUCGCCGGCGGCGUUAAGCCGCGGGAGGAAAGUCCGGGCUCCAUAGGGCAGGGUGCUGGAUAACGUCCAGUCAGCGCGAGCUGAAGGAUAGUGCCACAGAAAUGGACCGCCGAUGGCGCGCUUUAGGCGCGUACAGGCAAGGAUGGAACCGAGGUGUAAGAGACCCCGAGGAACGCUGGUGACUUCGUUCCUGGUAAACCCCACUUGGAGCAAGACCUAAUGGGACGCAGCUUCUUAACAGAAGUAGCCUUAGCCCGAGGCGCGUCCGGGUUGGUUGCUGGAGCCGCUCAGUAAUGUGCGGCCUAGAUAGAUGAUUGUCGCUUGACUGCGGGAGGGUUGUUCCCGUUAUACCGCAAUGAGCACAGAACCCGGCUUACGG